CAGUCGUACUUGCGGAUAAUCAACCUUUAGAUGCGAUUUUGUGGAGCGUCAAGAGUUAAACGCCUUCAUGCCUGCAUAUUCGUAUACUUUGGGUGUACUUAUUCGUGUGGUAAGUUAACAUCAAUUUUGGUGAUCAUAAAAUGACUAGAGGAAUGUAGCUUCGAUCUCGUAUUGAAGUGUUAUAGCCUUUGGUAGACCGUGAUGGAUUGGGGAUUGGAGGAUUGCAACGGAUACCCUUCGGGCUACCUGACUGAUCUCUGGAAGUUGCUCUGGUGCUG
rnacentral:rRNA from 1 species